rnacentral:rRNA from 1 species
GAUGAACGCUGGCGGCGUGCCUAAUACAUGCAAGUCGAGCGAAUGGACGAGAAGCUUGCUUCUCUGAUGUUAGCGGCGGACGGGUGAGUAACACGUGGAUAACCUACCUAUAAGACUGGGAUAACCUCGGGAAACCGGAGCUAAUACCGGAUAAUAUUUUGAACCGCAUGGUUCAAAAGUGAAAGACGGUCUUGCUGUCACUUAUAGAUGGAUCCGCGCUGCAUUAGCUAGUUGGUAAGGUAACGGCUUACCAAGGCAACGAUGCAUAGCCGACCUGAGAGGGUGAUCGGCCACACUGGAACUGAGACACGGUCCAGACUCCUACGGGAGGCAGCAGUAGGGAAUCUUCCGCAAUGGGCGAAAGCCUGACGGAGCAACGCCGCGUGAGUGAUGAAGGUCUUCGGAUCGUAAAACUCUGUUAUUAGGGAAGAACAUAUGUGUAAGUAACUGUGCACAUCUUGACGGUACCUAAUCAGAAAGCCACGGCUAACUACGUG